rnacentral:rRNA from 1 species
GACGAACGCUGGCGGCGUGCUUAACACAUGCAAGUGGAGCGACGAACCAGGCUUCGGCCUGGGGCAGAGCCGCGAACGGGUGAGUAACACGUGGGUAACCUGCCCUGAUGAUCGGGACAACCCGGGGGAAACCCGGGCUAAUACCGAAUGUGCUGCCCUCACAUCAGUGAGGGUAGGAAAGGAAGCUUCGGCCUCCGCAUCAGGAUGGGCCCGCGGCCCAUUAGCUUGUUGGUGAGGUAACGGCUCACCAAGGCUUCGAUGGGUAGCUGGUCUGAGAGGACGAUCAGCCACACUGGGACUGAGACACGGCCCAGACUCCUACGGGAGGCUG